rnacentral:rRNA from 1 species
AUACGUAGGGGGCGAGCGUUGUCCGGAAUGAUUGGGCGUAAAGGGCGCGUAGGCGGCGCGGUAAGUCUGGAGUGAAAGUCCUGUUUUUAAGAUGGGAAUUGCCUUGGAUACUGUCGGGCUUGAGUGCAGGAGAGGUAAGUGGAAUUCCCAGUGUAGCGGUGAAAUGCGUAGAGAUUGGGAGGAACACCAGUGGCGAAGGCGACUUACUGGACUGUAACUGACGCUGAGGCGCGAAAGUGUGGGGAGCAAACAGGAUUAGAUACCCUGGUAGUCCACACUGUAAACGAUGAAUGCUAGGUGUAGGGGGUAUCGACCCCUUCUGUGCCGCAGUCAACACAAUAAGCAUUCCGCCUGGGGAGUACGGCCGCAAGGCUGAAACUCAAAGGAAUUGACGGGG